AUUGAACGCUGGCGGCAGGCAUAACACAUGCAAGUCGAGCGAGAGGCGGACGGGUGAGUAAUGUAUGGGGAUCUGCCCGAUAGCGGGGGAUAACUACUGGAAACGGUGGCUAAUCCCGCAUACUAUCGGAUGACCCCAUAUGGGAUUAGCUAGUAGGUGGGGUAAAGGCUCACAUGUGCGACGAUCUGUAGCUGGUCUGAGAGGAUGACCAGCCACACUGGGUCUGGGCCACGGCCCAGACUCCUACGGGAGGCAGCAGUGGGGAAUAUUUCGCAAUGGGGGCAGCCCUGACGCAUCCAUGCCGCGUGAAUGAAUAAGGCCGUCGGGUUGUAUAGUUCUUUCGGUAGCGAGGCGUUAACUACAGAAGAAGCACCGGCUAACUCCGUGCCAGCAGCCGCGGUAAUAC
rnacentral:rRNA from 1 species